rnacentral:tRNA from 8 species
UUCGAAUCCUUCCGUCCCAG